UAUAACAAGUUUAUGCUUAUAGAUAUUGCAAAACAUAUUAAAGGUACUGUUAGAAUUACUAGAAACAAAAAAG
rnacentral:tRNA from 1 species